GCGUAGUGCACUGAUUGUAAUCAGCCUCCGCCUUACGGUGAUCCCGCGGAGGAGAAUGAUCUACGAAAUGUACGUAGGGAGUAGGUAUAGUACGUAUGCAUCAUGGAUGGUGAAUCGGGCAUGCUACUGCAAUAGGCCGGUAGUAUCUUUGGAAGAUUCCUACCUCCAGAGCUC
rfam:Glossina brevipalpis unplaced genomic scaffold Scaffold51, whole genome shotgun sequence.